rnacentral:rRNA from 1 species
GCAGCCUGAUCCAGCCAUGCCGCGUGGAGUGAUGAAGGCCUUCGGGUUGUAAAGCCCUUUUGUUGGGAAAGAAAAGCAGUCGGCUAAUACCCGGUUGUUCUGACGGUACCCAAAGAAUAAGCACCGGCUAACUUCGUGCCAGCAGCCGCGGUAAUACGAAGGGUGCAAGCGUUACUCGGAAUUACUGGGCGUAAAGCGUGCGUAGGUGGUUGUUUAAGUCUGUUGUGAAAGCCCUGGGCUCAACCUGGGAAUUGCAGUGGAUACUGGGCGACUAGCGUGUGGUAAAGGGUAGUGGAAUUCCCGGUGUAGCAACGAAAUGCGUAAAGGUCGGUAGGAACAUCCUUGGCGAAGGCAACUACCUGGACCAACACUGACACUGAGGCACAAAAGCGUGGGGAGCAAACAGGAUUAAAUACCCUGGUAGUCCACGCCCUAAACGAUGCGAACUGGAUGUUGGGUGCAAUUUGGCACGCCCUAUCGAAGCUAACGCGUUAAGUUCGCCGCCUGGGGAGUACGGUCGCAAGACUGAAACUCAAAGGAAUUGACGGGGGCCCGCACAAGCGGUGGAGUAUGUGGUUUAAUUCCAUGCCACGCGAAGAACCUUACCUGGUCUUGACAUGUCUAGAACUUUCC